rnacentral:misc_RNA from 1 species
AAAUGCGAUAAGUAAUGUGAAUUGCAGAAUUCAGUGAAUCAUCGAAUCUUUGAACGCACAUUGCGCUCCUUGGUAUUCCUUGGAGCAUGCCUGUUUGAGUAUCAUGAAAUCUUCAAAGUAAAUCUUUUGUUAACUCAAUUGGUUUCUACUUUGGUAUUGGAGGUCUUUGCAGCUUCACACCUGCUCCUCUUUGUUCAUUAGCUGGAUCUCAGUGUUAUGCUUGGUUCCACUCGGCGUGAUAAGUUAUCUAUCGCUGAGGACACUGUAAAAGGUGGCCAAGGUAAAUGCAGAUGAACCGCUUCUAAUAGUCCAUUGACUUGGACAAUACUUUUAUGAUCUGAUCUCACAUCAGGUAGGACUACCCGCUGAACUUAAGC